UACGUAGGUGGCAAGCGUUGUCCGGAUUUAUUGGGCGUAAAGGGAGCGCAGGCGGUGACUUAAGUCUGAUGUGAAAGCCCACGGCUCAACCGUGGAAGGUCAUUGGAAACUGGGUCACUUGAAUAUAGAAGAGGAAAGUGGAAUUCCAUGUGUAGCGGUGAAAUGCGUAGAUAUAUGGAGGAACACCAGUGGCGAAGGCGACUUUCUGGUCUAUUAUUGACGCUGAGGCUCGAAAGCACGGGUAGCAAACAGGAUUAGAUACCCGGGUA
rnacentral:rRNA from 1 species